CAAUGGACGAAAGUCUGACGGAGCAACGCCACGUGAGUGAUGAAGGUCUUCGGAUUGUAAAGCUCUGUUAAUCGGGACGAAAGAGUUCUGUGUAAAUAAUGCAGAAAAGUGACGGUACCGGAAUAGAAAGCCACGGCUAGCUACGUGCCAGCAGCCGCGGUAAUACGUAGGUGGCAAGCGUUGUCCGGAAUUAUUGGGCGUAAAGCGCGCGCAGGCGGCCUAUCCAGUCUGUCUUAAAAGUUCGGGGCUCAACCCCGUGAUGGGAUGGAAACUAGUAGGCUAGAGUAUCGGAGAGGAAAGCGGAAUUCCUAGUGUAGCGGUGAAAUGCGUAGAUAUUAGGAAGAACACCAGUGGCGAAGGCGGCUUUCUGAACGAAAACUGACGCUGAGGCGCGAAAGCCAGGGGAGCGAACGGGAUUAGAUACCCCGGUAGUCCUGGCCGUAAACGAUGGGUACUAGGUGUAGGAGGUAUCGACCCCUUCUGUGCCGGAGUUAACGCAAU
rnacentral:rRNA from 1 species